UAGCUUCCCUUGAAAACUAUUUUGCUUUCAAUUGUUCUUCCAGAACCAAUACCUUGUUUAAAGACUUAUAAAUUUUAGUCUAUGGUCCUGCACAAUUAAAUAAAUAUUAGUAUGUCCAAUUGAAAUUUUAAUAUCUUGUUAUCAUCAAAACUUAAGGUGACAAUGUUAAACACAUUUUAUUCCAACACGGAACACUACAUUGUCAGCAAACCAUUAAGGAUGAAUUUAAAUAAAAGAUUAGUAAUUGCAUAAAUCCUAUACAACAAUCCAGAUGAAUAGUACUACAUACAAUCAUAGAUAUUUACAUAUGAUCCCAGCAUAAAAGAAAGUUUGGUUACACAUAAAAUGCUUAACUAAUAAAAUAACGUUGAUAGAUGUUGGAGAUUCAUCAAGAAGCUUGUAUCCAAGCUUCCUGCCCCUCCAAUGAUGUCUCAUGCUUUCUGCCCUCUGUUCUCUCUCUAUUUGGAUUAGUUUACAAGGAUGUAGUUUUAAGGAAAUGAGCUACACCUCAAUUUAUAGAAAAUUCAGGGAUGUAGUUUACAAGAUGGAGUUUUAUGGAAAAUUCAGUUCUCUUCGGUUAUUAUUUUUUUUUAACCUUUAGCAUUUCCUUCUAGAAAAUUUGGGCAAUAUGAUAUAGUACUAAUGUAUUUAGAAAUGUGUGCUAAACUAUAAAACAAUUGCUUGCACAAAUGGAAGAACAUGCAUUCAAUGCAGCAAUCAGAUAUGAAAAGGCAACCAUCAUUUUGACCUAACUGUAGAGGUAUUGGCCAUCUUAUUUAGCAAUGCAAAAUAAUUACAGAAAUCAAAAUUUAUGGAAAUCAAGUGAUGAAAAAAAAACAACAAAUUAUGGUUAAUCAAGAGGAUCACCUGGUCAACAAGAUUACUUUGGAUUACACUGUUUUGCUGAUUUAACUAUGUUACCAAAGAAGGAUCAAAUUAUUAGUAUCGAUUUGAUUUUGUCAGAUGCAGAGAUGGCUUAGGAAAAUAGUGUCAUUAGAAAUAAUGCUACAUUGUAUUGUGAAAAUGACACAAGCUUGACACUAAAUAACUCUUUUAAUAUUUUGGAUGAGGACCUUCCCCUCUUGAGUGGUGAGGCUAUUUUUAGAGAUAAUCAUGGCAUACAAUAUCAUAUAGUCAUGCCUUUUAUUAGUUGUCCAUCAUCUUUGACCUUGGACAAAAGGCCUUGCAACCUUCCUCCUAAAUCUAGCUUGUACACCUCCAAAAAGUUUGGUGAAAGGAGAGUAAAAGUUCUUAAGGAGUUAUGAGGAGACUUUGACUUUGUUUGCGAGUUUGGAGGGGAAGGGAGGGGAAGACUUGGAAAAAAAAAAAAAGAAUGAGCAAGUAGAAGAAAUAGAGGAAAAUGGGAGGGGAGGGUUUUGGGAGGUUUACUUUUCUUCAUAAUACAAAACCCUCCUCAUUUGAAAAAACAAAAAUAUUGUAUUGGAAGAGGGGUUUUGAAGGAUGUUGGAGGGUUUAUAUGAAUUUUUUAAAUUUAAUCUAUGUUGGUAUAAUAUUUUUAAAAUUAAAAAUAAAGUAAUCACAUGCAUUAAUUUAUCAUUUUCUAAAAAACUACUCUUUUAAAAAAAUUGAAAAAUUUCUCCAUUUUCCCUCAUACUUUCCACCCCAAAAAGCCUUCUCUUCUCCUUCCCUCCAAACUCACAAACAAUGCCUUAGAGGAUACCUUAGUAGUUCCAAACACCAAUUAAUACCUUAGUAGUUCUGCAGGAAACCUUAUUCUCUAUGAAGAAACAAAAGAAAAAUAAGAUUGGUGGACACCACAAGACAGCCAAACCCAACCAAACGGGAAAAUGAAAUAGUUAUUUUGAUUAAAUUUUGGAAUAAAAAUCUCUUUUAAUAUAAAGGAGAGAAAAUUAUAUUUUGUGGUGUCUAUGAGUUUUUAUACAGUAUGAAUGAAAGACUAUUUUAAUAUGCUUAGUUUUCAACCAUGGCUUAUAUAUAUACUUUAUUUAAAGUCUGUAAAAAUAAUCUUCAAAUUGUUUAUUUUAUAAAUUAAUUUUUAGAGAAUCUAAAAUAAAUGGCCCUUACUAUAGAUAGCCCCCGAAUCUCUUGCUCCACUUGACAAAUUGCAACAGCUAGAGAGAACCGUGAGUCGCUCGCUUUUAACCUCAUGUACUUUCCUCACUCAGCACAUGAAAAAUUCAACCUUUGUUUCAGCUCUUCAACAUUCAAACUUUGAACUUUUCAGUCCCAUAUUUCAUUCUCGUAAAAAUUCAAACACAACAUAGCCUACACAAGAAAACCUAGUAGCUAGAAGAGACAAGACAACCUCAAAUAUAUAAAUCUUGCGUAGCAACUUUGAAUUUCAUGGCUUUUAUUUUAUGGUUUUUCCAUGAAUCAAAUCUAGCUAGUUAAUUAUGUUGAUUUGAUUUGAAAAUCAUGUCAAACAUACCAACCUCACUAUCUGAUAUUUGCC
rnacentral:lncRNA from 1 species